UGCGGUGUCAAAGCCGUGCACUCUUAACGGUCGGACAAGUCCGUCGGAGUGUGGUUAUUGUUGGAAGGGCAACCGACCAAUGAGGCCACCGUAAUCGUUCGGGGUGCCUUUAAUCGGGUGUCUCGGGCGGCCGACAUAGUUUACUUUGAACAAAUUAGAGUGCUCAAAGCAGGUGACUACCGCCUGAAUAGUACAGCAUGGAAUGAUGAAAGAGGACCUCGGUCUGAUUUUGCUGGUCUUUAACGGUCGGGCUUCGGCCCGGCCUAUGCAGACCCGAGGUAAUGGUCAAUAGAGACGGACGGGGGCAUCCGUACUGCGGCGACAGAGGUGAAAUUCUUGGACCGCCGCAAGACGAACGACAGCGAAGGCAUUUGCCAAGAAUGUUUUCCUUGAUCAAGAACGAAAGUUAGAGGUUCGAAGGCGAUCAGAUACCGCCCUAGUUCUAACCAUAAACGAUGCCAACUAGCGAUCCGCCGGUGUUACUCCCAUGACUCGGCGGGCAGCUUCCGGGAAACCAAAGUCUUUGGGUUCCGGGGGAAGUAUGGUUGCAAAGCUGAAACUUAAAGGAAUUGACGGAAGGGCACCACCAGGAGUGGAGCCUGCGGCUUAAUUUGACCCAACACGGGAAACCUCACCAGGCCCGGACACUGGAAGGAUUGACAGAUUGAGAGCUCUUUCUUGAUUCGGUGGGUGGUGGUGCAUGGCCGUUCUUAGUUGGUGGAGCGAUUUGUCUGGUUAAUUCCGAUAACGAACGAGACUCUUGCCUGCUAAAUAGGUGCCGGGUUUUUACAUCUCCUCGCAAGGGGAGAGUGGAGUGUGUGGUUGUCGGGAUCCUGGGCUGUGGUGGUCGUUUAGGCUGCGGGGGGCAACUCUCGUGGUCUGGGCGGCUGUCAUAGUUCACCCGGUGUACGCACACUUCGCGUCCGGCAUUUUUCUUCUUAGAGGGACAAGCGGCGUCCAGCCGCGUGACAGUGAGCAAUAACAGGUCUGUGAUGCCCUUAGAUGUCCUGGGCCGCACGCGCGCUACACUGAAGGAAUCAGCGUGUUAUUCAUCCCUGUCUGAAAAGACCGGGCAACCGCUGAACCUCCUUCGUGGUUGGGAUUGGGGACUGCAAUGAUCCCCAUGAACCAGGAAUCCCUAGUAGGCGCGGGUCACUAGCCCGCGUCGAUUACGUCCCUGCCCUUUGUACACACCGCCCGUCGCUACUACCGAUUGAAUGAUUUAGUGAGAACUUCAGACGGCUAUGUUUGUCCGGGGCAACCCGCGUCGAGCAGGGCUGAAAGAUGUUCAAACUUGAUCCUUUAGAGGAAGUAAAAGUCGUAACAAGGUU
rnacentral:rRNA from 1 species